UAGAAUGAACACCAGACCGGCACUUCACACGGUGAAAGACAACCUUGGCAUUCAUCAGCAGAUAACAUGCAUCAGCAGAUAACCCUUACUCUUCAGAUUAUUUGAUAAUCAUGAGAAUGAAUACCGACAGGUUUUGCCUUGGAACACUCCUUCAUGUGACUUACCUGUUGUUGUAGGUUUAUACAACCCCCGGAAGUACAGACAACAAAGCAGACAUAAUCUGGAAUAUCGAUAACCUCUAAAGCUCUAAGAGGACCCAAAAUGAAAGCAACUCCUGGAGGCUGGGAUUAUGAAAGAUUUUCACGAAACUCACGCCAGCUGCUUCACACAUUGAAAAUUAUGAGAGGCUGGUGGAUUGAAGUGUAGUCAAACAGUCUUUUUCAACAAUGUGGACAGUCAUGCCCACUGGACAACUAAAAAGUGCUCCUUCGUUACCCUCCUUCUCCAAACACUACAUGUCAAUAGUCCCAACAAAAAGUUAUAAAACAAGCAGUCUUGACCUUCCUUUUCCACCAUGACAGGCAGAAUUAAUAUAGCUAUCAAGUAUUAGUAACUGCUAAAGAGGGAUUGUCGUUGAGAGAGGCACUUAAAGGCACACCAAGUUUUACAACAGAUAGAAACAUAAUCCUUGGCAAACUGGGCCCAGCCCAAAACGGACCAAAUCAGACUGAUAAAAACUGCUCAUAUCUGCAGCUAUAGCAGCAAUUUAAAAUCUAUGCUAUAGCUGAUAGCGACGACUCCGAACUGAAUACUAAUCGAUGCAUAUGCAAUACUGCUCACGUCUGUUACUUGUAUUUAAAAAUAAUCA